AAUUUAUCAAGAGUGCGGUUAGAGCCCUGGCUCAAUGACCCGCCGGCAACCUCCUCCUACGCUAAAGCUUCGGAGGAAAGGUGCCAAAUCCAGCCUACGGCCAUCAUAGCAUUUGCGAAGAUGGCACCGAGGGAAAGAUAAGUG
rnacentral:ncRNA from 2 species